UAGGGAAUCUUCCACAAUGGACGCAAGUCUGAUGGAGCAACGCCGCGUGAGUGAAGAAGGUUUUCGGAUCGUAAAGCUCUGUUGUUGGUGAAGAAGGAUAGAGGCAGUAACUGGUCUUUAUUUGACGGUAAUCAACCAGAAAGUCACGGCUAACUACGUGCCAGCAGCCGCGGUAAUACGUAGGUGGCAAGCGUUGUCCGGAUUUAUUGGGCGUAAAGCGAGCGCAGGCGGAAUGAUAAGUCUGAUGUGAAAGCCCACGGCUCAACCGUGGAAUUGCAUCGGAAACUGUCAUUCUUGAGUGCAGAAGAGGAGAGUGGAACUCCAUGUGUAGCGGUGGAAUGCGUAGAUAUAUGGAAGAACACCAGUGGCGAAGGCGGCUCUCUGGUCUGCAACUGACGCUGAGGCUCGAAAGCAUGGGCAGCGAACAGGAUUAGAUACCCUGGUAGUCCAUGCCGUAAACGAUGAGCGCUAGGUGUUGGGGACUUUCCGGUCCUCAGUGCCGCA
rnacentral:rRNA from 1 species